rnacentral:rRNA from 1 species
AAACGACUCUCGGCAACGGAUAUCUCGGCUCUCGCAUCGAUGAAGAACGUAGCGAAAUGCGAUACUUGGUGUGAAUUGCAGAAUCCCGUGAACCAUCGAGUCUUUGAACGCAAGUUGCGCCCGAAGCCAUUAGGCCGAGGGCACGUCUGCCUGGGCGUCUCGCAUCUCGUCGCCCCCCACACCGCGCCCCUUGGUGGGGCGCGGCGAUUGGGGGCGGACAUUGGCCCCCCGUGGGCGCAAGCUCGCGGCCGGCCUAAAAAAGGAGUCGCUGGCGACGGACGUCACGACGAGUGGUGGCUGACAUAACGUUUGCGUCCCGUUGUGCGUGUACCCGUCACCUAUGGCGGUCUCAUGUGACCCUAAAGCGCCACACGCGUUGGCUGCAUCGACCGCGACCCCAGGUCAGGCGGGACUACCCGCUGAGUUUAAGCAUAUCAAUAAGCGGAGGAAAAGAAACUUACUAGGAUUCCCUUAGUAACGGCGAGCGAACCGGGAAGAGCCCA